rnacentral:rRNA from 1 species
UACGGGGGGGGGCAAGCGUUGUUCGGAAUUACUGGGCGUAAAGGGCUCGUAGGCGGCCAACUAAGUCCGACGUGAAAUCCCAAGGCUUAACCUUGGAACUGCGUCGGAUACUGGAUGGCUUGAAUUCGGGAGAGGGAUGCAGAAUUCCAGGUGUAGCGGUGAAAUGCGUAGAUAUCUGGAGGAAUACCGGUGGCGAAGGCGGCAUCCUGGACCGGUAUUGACGCUGAGGCGCGAAAGCUAGGGGAGCAAACGGG